GUCGUUAUCUACCAGAUGGAAGCAUAGCAUCUCUUCUGUAAGAGAAGAAGAAAAACACAUUCCUAAGUUUUAAUAUCGUCGAGACGAGAGGAAUGAGCCGUUUGCCGGAAACGUUGAAGAGCCGAGCGUGUGGUGGGAAAGGACGCCGACCAGCAACAUGGAGACGUGGAAUUGGACGCUUACUCAAACAUCCAGAGGUCGCCAACUUUUCCAAGACAUUUCUUGCAGACUCCAGUCUCACCUUCUGUGAUGUGUUCACCAUCGACAGUGGAACAAGGUUGGUCUAUUUUAGUAUCAUUCAUUUUCCUAGCUUAGUCUUAAACAGCUAAUGUACAUGCAUGUUUGGUAAAUUCAUUUGCUGCCACAUUAAAUAACAUCCAAUAUUUAGAAGCCAACAGCAUAUAG